rnacentral:miRNA from 1 species
GAAAAUUUGUCAUUCCUCUCUCUCUCUCUCUCUCUCUCUCUCUCUCUCUCUGUGUGUGUGUGUGUGUGUGAGAGAGAGAGAGAGAGAGAGAGAGAGAGAGAGAGAGAGAGAGAUCAGACUU